GGUUUAGCUCAGUGGUAAAGAACAUGCCUUGUGUGCAAAAGGCCUCAGGUUCAAUCCCUGGGGUCUCCA